rnacentral:rRNA from 1 species
ACGGGAGGCAGCAGUGGGGAAUAUUGGACAAUGGGGGAAACCCUGAUCCAGCGACGCCGCGUGAGUGAAGAAGGUUUUCGGAUUGUAAACUUCUUUUAUGAGGGACGAUAAUGACGGUACCUCAUGAAUAAGCCACGGCUAACUACGUGCCAGCAGCCGCGGUAAUACGUAGGUGGCGAGCGUUGUCCGGAUUUACUGGGUGUAAAGGGCGAGUAGGCGGGCUUGCAAGUCAGAUGUGAAAUACCGGGGCUCAACUCCGGGGCUGCAUUUGAAACUGUAAGUCUUGAGUGAUGGAGGGGCAGACGGAAUUCCCAGUGUAGCGGUAAAAUGCAUAGAGAUUGGGAAGAACACCAGUGGCGAAGGCGGUCUGCUGGACAUUAACUGACGCUGAGGAGCGAAAGUGUGGGGAGCAAACAGGAUUAGAUACCCUGGUA